AGCAGUAGCCGCGGGAAUACGUAGGUGGCAAGCGUUGUCCGGAAUUAUUGGGCGUAAAGGGCUCGCAGGCGGUUUCUUAAGUCUGAUGUGAAAGCCCCCGGCUCAACCGGGGAGGGUCAUUGGAAACUGGGAAACUUGAGUGCAGAAGAGGAGAGUGGAAUUCCACGUGUAGCGGUGAAAAGCGUAGAGAUGUGGAGGAACACCAGUGGCGAAGGCGACUCUCUGGUCUGUAACUGACGCUGAGGAGCGAAAGCGUGGGGAGCGAACAGGAUUAGAUACCCGAGUAGUCCCUGUCUCUUAUAA
rnacentral:rRNA from 1 species